GAUGAACGCUGGCGGCGUGCCUAAUACAUGCAAGUCGAGCGAACGGACGAGAAGCUUGCUUCUCUGAUGUUAGCGGCGGACGGGUGAGUAACACGUGGAUAACCUACCUAUAAGACUGGGAUAACUUCGGGAAACCGGAGCUAAUACCGGAUGAUCUUUUGAACCGCAUGGUUCAAAAGUGAAAGACGGUCUUGCUGUCACUUAUAGAUGGAUCCCCGCUGCAUUAGCUAGUUGGUAAGGUAACGGCUUACCAAGGAAACGAUGCAUAGCCGACCGAAGAGGGUGAUCGGCCACACUGGAACUGAGACACGGUCCAGACUCCUACGGGAGGCAGCAGUAGGGAAUCUUCCGCAAUGGGCGAAAGCCUGACGGAGCAACGCCGCGUGAGUGAUGAAGGUCUUCGGAUCGUAAUACUCUGUUAUGAGGGAAGAACAUAUGUGUAAGUAACUGUGCACAUCUUGACGGUACCUAAUCAGAAAGCCACGGCUAACUACGUG
rnacentral:rRNA from 1 species